CUUAAGAUUGCAGCAAUACAGAAUUUCUGUUCUGUGGGGCUUAAGGCAUGAACACAAAUCUUCUUUAAUCUGAAUGGAUAUGUGUUAAUCUGAAGCAUGCAUUAUGGUUAGAGUGUGUAGUCCCUAAAUAGUCUAGAUUUUUUUUCUGAAAAGGGCAUUUGUUUUUCUUUACUGCUCUUAGGAUAUAACAAAGUCCAGCAGAGUCAACUCUUUUGGGAUCAAGUUGAGAACAUUAGACUGCCACGUGUUAAUUAGCAAAUACUACAUGAAUAUGAGUCUGGUUGCACUGCCUCUGUGUUCUUGGAGAAACAAGACCUCAAGGCAGAGACUUUUACAGCUUCAAGAAGAACUCUUCAUUUUCCUCUCUAUAGACUGAUGAAAGCUUGUUUUGGGUAACCUUUAAAAUCAAGAAAUAAAGCUUUAUAUGUCAUCCUCAUUUCCUUGUUGGCUCCAUGAGUGA
rnacentral:lncRNA from 1 species